rnacentral:misc_RNA from 1 species
AGACAAAUAUGGCUUCCACCUGAUGUCUCUGACCGAUUCGCCACUGUCAGACUAAUUUCUAACUGUCGGUGUUCAACUAAAGCCAAAUUCAGAGACAUUACAAGAAACAACAUCUGAUCAAGAUGGCAGAAUACUGGCUGAUAUCUGUUCCUGGAGAGAAGACGCUGCAGCAGUCCUGGGAAACCCUCAACAAUGCCACCAUGAGGAACCAAGUGUUGUCAACCAAUUACAAGUUUGCCAUUCCAGAUCUCAAGGUUGGAACAUUGGAUGUCCUUGUUGGUCUUUCUGAUGACAUGGGCAAACUGGACAUUUAUUGUGAAAGUGUUACCAGGAAAAUAGCACAAUACUUAGGGGAAACACUGGAGGAUCGUAGUGAUAAAUUACAAGGAAAUUUACAAGUCAAUGGAGUGGAUAUGGUAACCUACCUGACACGAUUCCAGUGGGAUUUGGCAAAGUAUCCCAUCAAACAAUCCCUGAAAAACAUUGCCGAAAUAAUCGGAAAGCAAGUUUCACAGAUUGAAACAGACUUGAAAACAAAAGCCACUGCAUACAACAAUCUGAAGGGAAAUCUACAGAACCUGGAAAGAAAGUCCUACGGGAAGUUUGUUUACAAGAAACCUGACAGAAUUGGUGAAGAGGGAAGACUUUGUGCUGGACUCGGAGUAUCUACAGACACUGCUGGUGGUGGUUCCUAAAAAUAUCAUUCAUGACUGGCAGGCAAAGUACGAGUCACUGACUGAUAUGGUGGUUCCUAGAUCAUCAAGGACACUGUUUGAGGACGAUGAGAACUGCCUUUGUUCUGUGACACUCUUCAGGAAAGUAGCCGAGGACUUCAGAAACCGAUGCCGUGAGAACAGAUUUAUGGUCAGAGAUUUUACAUACAAUGAGAAAGAUAUAGCUGAUGGCAAAAUGGAAAUCUCAAAACUGGAGGAUGAUAAAAAGAAACAAUAUGGCCCUCUGGUUAAAUGGUUAAAAGUCAACUUUGGGGAGGCUUUUUCUGCUUGGAUACAUGUCAAAGCUCUUAGAAUAUUUGUGGAGUCUGUACUUAGGUAUGGAUUGCCUGUUAAUUUCCUUGCGGUACUUAUACAACCACACAAAAAGACAACCAGGAAGCUACGAGAAGUCAUGAACCAGUUGUACGCUCAUCUAGACUCACCGGCCUCUCAAGAUGCGGGACAGAUGGAGAUUCCAGGGUUGGUGGGGAUCAGCAAUGUGGACUACUAUCCGUAUGUGUAUUACAAAAUCGGCCUGGAUCUGGUGGACCCACUCAAGUAAAUCUGGCCUCCACGCUCUGUGAUGAUUCCAUACUAUUCUAUAAGGUUGGACACUGUAACUGCAGGCUGGUAAUGCUGCUGCUCUCAGCUUGAGGGUAAAGGUCAAAUCCAUGACGAUAUAGUGAUAUUUAUGUUACCUAGGUUACCGUUGCCAUGUAUUCUAUAUGAACAAGUCAUUCCUCUGUUGAUUGGGUUUUUAAAUUAUAUAAGUUAGUCCUGUUUAUUCAAAGAAACCAACACCAGUCUCUGUAUAGGUAUUAAUACGAGAAAAAGAAGGGUCAGGGGGCAGGAUGGGGGGGGGGGGGAGGGAUGAUGUAUCACCAUGCAUGUAAUGAUUAUCCCUACAGUAAAAGAAGGGAUAACUUUAAGGUUGGAGUUUUCAUAAUGAAGAAUGAAAGAUUUAUCGUAGCUGUUGGUUUCUUUGUUUAAACAGAAAAGGUAAGAGGACCAUUAGAGGGUCUGGAAACUGUGAUUUAAUUGUAUUGAUUACGUAAUGAAAUGUAUAUAGUCAUUAUUAGAAGUCCGUUAUUUCCAUUGAGUUCCAGCAUUGUACAUGAUAAAGUCUUGUGGUUACAAUUUCUUUCAAAGUUGUCAAUUUACUAGCUAGGUAUAUUUUUAGGGGAGAAAAAGUAACAUGCAUUAUAUUUACAUAUAUUCUGUAUAUCACUCGCAAUAAGCAGAUGUUGAAACUAGUCAUAAUGUUAACUGCAUGUAGAACAUGUUUGUAUAACAUGUUGAGAUAUGUGUAAAUGGAAAUAAUGUAUCUAAUUGAUAAUAAAGUAUAUACAAAAUAGUG